rnacentral:rRNA from 1 species
UACGAAGGGGGCUAGCGUUGUUCGGAAUUACUGGGCGUAAAGGGUGUGUAGGUGGUUUAGUACGUCAGGAGUGAAAUCCCCAGGCUCAACCUGGGAAUUGCUUUUGAGACUACUAGGCUUGAGUACAGGAGAGGUGAGUGGAAUUCCCAGUGUAGAGGUAAAAAUUCGUAGAUAUUGGGAGGAACACCAGUGGCGAAGGCGGCUCACUGGCCUGUAACUGACACUGAGACACGAAAGCGUGGGGAGCAAACAGG